rnacentral:rRNA from 1 species
GAUGAACGCUGGCGGCGUGCUUAACACAUGCAAGUCGAACGGAAAGGCUCCUGCUUGCAGGGGUACUCGAGUGGCGAACGGGUGAGUAGCACGUGGGUGAUCUGCCCUGCACUUCGGGAUAAGCCUGGGAAACUGGGUCUAAUACCGGAUAGGACGAUGGUUUGGAUGCCAUUGUGGAAAGUUUUUCGGUGUGGGAUGAGCUCGCGGCCUAUCAGCUUGUUGGUGGGGUAAUGGCCUACCAAGGCGUCGACGGGUAGCCGGCCUGAGAGGGUGUACGGCCACAUUGGGACUGAGAUACGGCCCAGACUCCUACGGGAGGCAGCAGUGGGGAAUAUUGCACAAUGGGCGCAAGCCUGAUGCAGCGACGCCGCGUGGGGAAUGACGGCCUUCGGGUUGUAAACUCCUUUCGCUAGGGACGAAGCGCAAGUGACGGUACCUGGAGAAGAAGCACCGGCUAACUACGUG